CAAACGGUCCUUUUCAGGACCAUCGAAAA
rfam:Aedes albopictus isolate Foshan contig177998, whole genome shotgun sequence.